UUUCCGUAGGUGAACCUGCGGAGGGAUCAUUAUUGAAAUAAAAACUUGGUUGGGGGUUGCUGCUGGCUCUCAGGAGCAUGUGCACACUCGCUCCAUUUUUUAAUACCACCUGUGCACACACUGUAGGCCUGAAUGAACUUUUUCGAGGUUUAAAAACUUUGGUUUGAGAACUGCCUUUGGGCUGUUCUUGUGUUCCCAGGUCUAUGUUUUAAACAAUAUACUCCAUAACAAGUAAUAGAAUGUCAAAUUAUGGGCCUUUUGUGCCUUUAAACCUAAUACAACUUUCAACAACGGAUCUCUUGGCUCUC
rnacentral:misc_RNA from 1 species